rnacentral:rRNA from 1 species
GACGAACGCUGGCGGCGUGCUUAACACAUGCAAGUCGAACGGUAAGGCCCUUCGGGGUACACGAGUGGCGAACGGGUGAGUAACACGUGGGUGAUCUGCCCUGCACUUCGGGAUAAGCCUGGGAAACUGGGUCUAAUACCGGAUAGGACUCCGGACUGCAUGGUCUGGGGUGGAAAGCUUUUGCGGUGUGGGAUGGGCCCGCGGCCUAUCAGCUUGUUGGUGGGGUGAUGGCCUACCAAGGCGACGACGGGUAGCCGGCCUGAGAGGGUGACCGGCCAAACUGGGACUGAGAAACGCCCCAGACUCCUACGGGAGGCAGCAGUGGGGAAUAUUGCACAAGGGGCGCAAGCCUGAUGCAGCGACGCCGCGUGAGGGAUGACGGCCUUCGGGUUGUAAACCUCUUUCAGCAGCGCCGAAGCGAAAGUGACGGUAGGUGCAGAAGAAGGACCGGCCAACUACGUGCCAGCAGCCGCGGUAA